GACGAACGCUGGCGGCGUGCUUAACACAUGCAAGUCGAACGGAAAGGCCCUGCUUUUGUGGGGUGCUCGAGUGGCGAACGGGUGAGUAACACGUGAGUAACCUGCCCUUGACUUUGGGAUAACUUCAGGAAACUGGGGCUAAUACCGGAUAGGAGCUCCUGCUGCAUGGUGGGGGUUGGAAAGUUUCGGCGGUUGGGGUUGGACUCGCGGCUUAUCAGCUUGUUGGUGGGGUAGUGGCUUACCAAGGCUUUGACGGGUAGCCGGCCUGAGAGGGUGACCGGCCACAUUGGGACUGAGAUACGGCCCAGCCCCCUACGGGAGGCAGCAGUGGGGAAUAUUGCACAAUGGGCGGAAGCCUGAUGCAGCAACGCCGCGUGCGGGAUGACGGCCUUCGGGUUGUAAACCGCUUUCGCCUGUGACGAAGCUUGAGUGACGGUAAUGGGUAAAGAAGCACCGGCUAACUACGUG
rnacentral:rRNA from 1 species